AAAUUUAACGAAAAAUGUUAGGCAUGUUACGGCAACAAGCAGCCACCAGAAUCUUAUCCAAACUAGAGCACCCCCUCCCUCCAGAAAAAUACAUCCCUGGGUAAUGAUGUAGCGAUUGAAGAUAGACAAUCUUUUCUGCUCUGGUUUCUUUCUUGAUAAAAAGCCCCCGUAGGUAAAAUAUUAUUUUUUAAUGUCUUCAAAAAAACAGGUCAAGUUCAGUCCUAGAAGGCUCGAUGGUUUUGGUCUUACAGAUGGUAAGGCUCUUGAAAUGCUCUGGGCUUACCCUCGUGUGCUCUCAGCAAUUACUAAGGAGAUGUCUGCCAGUAGAAGAGUAGAUCUUUUGACAGACGCGCUUCUUCACUUAUCUCGAAGAAAUUUUAGCAAUGCAGGUGCUUGAAUAUUGUCAUUGCUCUAUGUGUAACUAUGUGUUGACAAUGAAAAUGUUUUUAUUUGUUUGUUGCGCCUUAAUUAUUUUAAUUUUCUGUAUAUGAUUUGUUACUGGAAAAUCAUUAACGUCGAAGCUUAAAAAAAGUCUACAACUUAAAAUAAAAACGCAACAACAAAUGAAGGAUUUAUUUAGCGAACUACCUGGUAAGUAGUUCUGGUAGGUUAGAAAUUUCUUAUGUUUUCUGUGGCCGAAAAGUAUUUAAGGUUUCUUUUUGCCUAACCAAACUCUCAACUCAAUUUGCAUCCAAGGAAAAUAUGUUGUUAUUUAGUAAAGGCUUCUUCAUCGAAUUUAAAAUCUGUUAUGAAAAGAUAAAGAUUUAUUAGUAUUGAUUGUACUUCAAAAUAGCCUACUCGUUUUUACAAAAUACCCUACUAAAAAACGAAAUUUUUUUAUUGUAUGGGAAAAUACAAAACCUGUAGCAUAUAUAGUUACAUACGUAUUUAUUUUGUUUGUUAGUGACGUACGAUCCUGAAAUUGUUUGUUAGUGGGAGGCCAGAGAGAAGGAAAUUAUGUCAAGAGUCAACCCAGAACAUAAAGAAACCACGGAGAACUGGAAAGUGACGUAUGUUCAAAAACUACUGCAUUUUAAACAUCUUAGUGCUACAUCAUUCGGAUGUUUUGAAGAAAACCAUGAGAUAACUCUGAAGAUUACUCAAUUCAUCAGAUGUCGAAAAAACUGUACCAGUUUCAAAAGAUUUUACAAGAUAUUGAACGAAAGCAUUCUGUAAAAGAAAGAUGGAAACCUGGUCAUCCUAGUUUUGACGUCUUUGCAUUGCAAGCCAUACAAAGAAAACGAAAAGAUACUAUCGGAGCUUUACAUGGACUUUCCAUAGAAAGGCAUUUCUUAAUAACAUCGAGAAAGAAGUAUGCAGAGGGUCACGAACAAGAUGAAAUUAACAAUUGAGAAACACAAUGCUGCCAUUGGAUUCUCUUCCUGAUUUUAUAAACAGUUUAUUCGAUCGUCUGACAUUUGACAAAACGAAAGAUCCUACAUCAGACCUUUAUGAGGGAUUUGAGUUUGGUGAGGAUGACAUUCUAGGGGAAUCCUCGGUCCCAGUAUACACAAAGAGGAAAGCUAUUGAAAUGUACUUAACCCUAUAACGAUGUGACGAGGAAGAGAAACUUGUAAACUUGGAAAGAGAAAGGCUUCUAUUGUAUUACACCAAUCUUAGCUCAAAAAUUGAGGAAGCAUUUGCUGAUCUUGGUGAUUUGAGCAGCGAUUAAUUCAUGCUUGGUUCAAAGCAUGAACUGAUGAGACUUAAAACCAAAUUGCGGAAUGAGUUAUUCAGCUUGAAGAAAAGUUUUGAACUUCCACUUAAAGAAACGUUUCUUCUCCAGGCUGAGGUUGUAAACUUAACCUAUGAUGUCAACAUUCCCAAUGAAUCUGAAAGCUCAACGUAUGAGGAAUCCGAUACUGAAGAUGAAAACAUCGAAGAGUUCUCAGAAGUGGGCAGUGACAUUGAAUAGACGACAUAGCUACUAUUCGUAAACUAAUAGCUACUUUUUAUGUACUUACUUAUUAUGUAAUUUAGUUGUUCACGUAUCUAGUAUAAUAACUGAUAUCACGCAAACAUUUGUGGUUUUGUGACGUCAUGUUAGU